UCUGUCUAUCUAUAUCUGUCUGUCUGUCUUCUAUCAUCUAUCAUCCUAUUUUCCCUGUGUGCUGGAAACAAGUCUGAGAGCCUUGUGCAUUCUAGGUAAGUGCUCUGUCGCAGAUACAUCUACAAUCUCACAUUGUUUUAAAUGAAGCCCACAAAAUUUAACAAUGGUGAAAUGUUCCUCUGAGUGGUACAGCUACCAUGCAUGGUGUGUAUUCUUGCCUGGAUUUUCUCUUCAAGAAUUGAGACAAAAAGGGAAGUCUUGCCUCAUUAAAAACAGUCCUCUUCUGUGUACAGCAUACAUCAUUUUUUCCCCAUAGAAACUUACCUCAGCUUUCUCUGAGCUUCCUUUUCAGGAAAUGUUGGCAAACAGUAAACCAACUCAGCAUCAGCAAGGACACGGCCCCAUCAGGGGACCGAGUGGAGCGAUGGUCCAUGUGUUCUUGAGCAGCAUCUUUACCCUGGAUGCUGUUUGCCUGCAGAGAACUAAUUUGAUUGGGCCAUAAGGAAAGACAGUUUCAAGAGGUGAUGUCUAAAUCUAAACCUGAAGAAAAAUGGGAGGCGUCUCAGGCCCACAUGUCCUGGGACCUUGCCUCUUGCUCCCUUAAGGGGAAAAGGGAGGACUGGAUCUGAAAGAAGAGGUACAGGAAAACCUGGUCUAAAGUAGGGGCAAGGAGGGUGCUUUUCCAGCAAUAUGUCACACUUGGUUAUGACAGUAGGCGAUACAGGGCAGUGGCUGAUGGAAACUGGGUUUCUAGGUCAUCAGCAUGAGGAGUGUUUAAAGCUAUUUGCAAUGGAAAAAUCUCAUGGUAAUGAACUCAAUAUCAGGAGACAUGGUGAGACAACCACAAAUUUUAUAGUUAAGUAGCUUCAAUGGUUUGCAGGGAAAAUGGAAACAUAGAGACUAGAUAGGAAAGAAGGGACAAGAAGGGUGGACAGAAGCAUCCUGAGUAUGUUGCAAUAGUGGCUGAAUACAGCUUCAAGUUUCUUUUCCUUACCUCCUAUUAGAAUUUGCUUAGUAACUGUAACCCUGGCAGAACAAGACAAUGAGUUAAUCUCAAGACUCCUCAAAUGAGCAUUUUAAAAUGCAUUCCUUAUCCUCUGGAUUUUGAAAAUUCAUUAUGGAAUGACACUAUUAUGAGCUAAGAUGAUUUUAAUUUCUUGAAGGAUUUAGUCUGAGGUCUUAUAAAAAUUCUGUCUACUUGUUUUUGUUAGAAACACCCAGAAAACCACUGUGAAUUCGGUUAAUGAAUAUGUUUUCUAUGCUGUCUUUGUACCUUCUCUGAUUUAGGACUCCAUUUAGUUUUCCAAGGCUUGAGAUUUAUAGGCAUGCUUAAUUGUUUCCAAGUUGGAGUUUAUGUUGGUGGGUGCAAUGCCAAGAUUGGGAGCCUUGUCCUCUCUUUAAUUUGCAUGCUAAAUUGUAGUUUUCACUGGGCAAUAUAUUACUGCUCCUUGCUGUGUGUCUUGUAGGUAGAGCCAAUACAUAUUGUGUGGUAUGGUGCUAUGGCCUGUUAUAGUAAUGUUUUAUGAUUACCAUAAUACUUUCCUCAUUUGUUUCUUAGCUUAGGUUAAUAGGCAAAACAUUCAUAUCAAGUGUGAUCAAAAGCAGACUUGCACGGAAAGCCAAUUAAGUUUUCCCCAAUACUUUGUACAAGAGUCAGUUUUAAUAUGGCCACAUAGUGUGUUCAUUCUGAAUGGGUGAGAAGGGAGGAAGAUUAAAUGUGAUGAAGGACACCGAAGACGCUACCUGGAAAGUUGCAGAAUGGAGAGACCCGUGAAGGAUUAUGCAUAGAAACCUGAGUUUGCAGCUGAUAUUGAACAUGCCUGCAUACUGCCAAGAACAGUUUAACAUGCACUUCUGAGCUUCAUCUUGCUCAGCACAGUCAGCGGUGGUGCAUCCGUUUAUUUAUGCAAAUAUGUUAAGCAAACCCCAAGAGACCUUGAAAAAAGACCUUAUAAACCAUCUUAAUGUUUUACUGCCAUUUCCAUGUAUCAAUGAAACUUUUUGCUAUUUUAACAUGCAGUGAGAAUAUUUUCUGUGUUUCAGGAACAUAAGAAAUUGCUAUUGUUCAUAUUUUAUCAACAUUAUACCACUGACACCAAAGAUUUAUAUAAUAUAAAUGAGGAACAUUUUAAAGGUCUGAGUUUGCAUCCCUUAUCAUCUAUUUUUGCUCUGAUAACUUUUUUGAACAUUUCUUGAAGAAUACUUCUGUUGGAAUGUUCCAAGAAAUGCCUUUAUACCACCUUAAUGUUUAGCAGGGACAGCAGGCAGGGUCUUGCUGAUCAGGUGCCAUCGGAUGCGAGGGGCCACCGAAAGUUCCGGGGCUUAGAUGAUGGGAGCACAGUACCCACUGUGGAUCCGCUCUCCCCAACCCCAGCAUUAGUGGAACUUUGUUGGUUUUUCUGAAGAUGGAAGAAUAGUGUUGGUCAGUGAAGCAUAGAAAAAAAAGACCUUUUCCAUUUCAGAUGGCUAUCUAAUUAUCAUUUCUAGUUUAUCUGGCUCUUUCUCUUUGUUAGAAGAGGGACAAUUUCCUCUGAAAUGUUCUACAUUUUAUUGGAAAGAACAGUUCUUGUAAUUUCUUAAAUUAAAAUCUCACUGCUAGUGUAUCA